GGGGGAGCGGGGACCGCUGGGGAGCCGGGCCGCUGCCAUCCGCACGCGGGCAGGAAGCGCCGGGCUGCGAGGAGCGUAGGAACUCUGGCAGGGCCGGGGAGCGGAGCCGGGAGCACAAAAGCACAUCCAUGCGGCUGUACCGUCCUUCUUGAGCGCUGCUGCCGCCGAUGGCGGCGGAAGGCCGCACGUGAGAGCUGCCUUCAGCCCCUCGCAGCUUCCAGACACGAAGCCCAGCCCCCCCGUGGCAGGGUGAGCUGCUGCCCCGCUCACAGCCAGCGCUGACCUUCCUCGAGAGCUCGAGGCCUCGCCAGCAGGGCAUUAAGAGGUUGGCCAGACAUGCAGUUAAAUCCUUAACUUUCCUUUAUCCUGCGGGAUAUUUUCUCCCAGCUUUUCUAAAACACAAUGUUAGCAAAUUAAGUUUAAAAUCCCCCCCAAGAAAAAUGUAAACACAGAGCCUGCAAAAGUUCUGCCCACAUGGCUAAAAUUCAGAGUUGCAAGCAGCCGAGAACAGGUCGUCACAGUAGGAAGCAUUGGGCAACUUUAAUAGCAGGUAGACCAGAGAGCCCCACCUAUAAUAAGCAGCAAACGCACCUCCCUAGAACAGAUAGCAUUGUGAUGGGCUGGCGCACUCCAAACACAAGUCCCAGUGUCAGUAUUUUAAAAUUACCUGUUAAAUAGAAUACUCAAGACAGUUCUCAAGAUGUCUUAGGUACUUUAAUGCAUCGCUUUUUUAUUAGAGGAGAAAAAGUCUUGUGUAAGCCCUGUGCUCCUUCAGAGCAUAGAGCUUCUAAUGCUAUAGGCUGAAGAUGAAUUUUGUGAUUAAACUGAUCUAGCUGUAAGAACAGAAUUCAUACCACUGAACAAACGAGGUAGUUACCUUCGCUACAAGCCCUCAAUUCUACUGUGCCUGGACAAAAGCAGGAGAGAAAGCCAAUUGCCACACUUCAGAUGCAUGGAAACCAUAUUCUAUUUGGUUUCAAAAUUAAUGAUCAUGAUAACUUAACCUCUUAAAACAAAAACUAUCACUAUAAAACCAGCAUGAUGCAUACAUAUAGGUAAGAAAGGCAAAUCAAGACUGAACAGGCAACGCUUGUUUUUAGUCCUAUUGAAUUCUCAAGUACUUGAAUUUACAACAUUCAAUAUUCUUUAAAAGGCAUAAAGGUGUGUAAUUACUAUUUUAAUUAGCACAGUAGGACAUACCAUUUGUUGAGUACAAUUAAAUAGGAGCACACUGUGGAUAGCAGAACUGUUCCUGACUGAGCCAAUGCAUUUACACUGCCUCUGACAGUAAGAAACCCCAACAGAACGUUUGUUUCAGGUUUAUUCUGUUCUCUGUCAGAUCCCCGCCCUUCAGAUAUGUUAUCACAGCCAUAAUGGCAGCUGUGAUCUACACCUACAAAGACAAGUAACAAGAUGAACAGAGAAAAGUAAAACAGCCAAGUCACCUCUGUGCAUAUCACAGAAAAAAAAAAAAAUCAAUUUCACAAAACUUUCCUCCCAGUAGCAGGAUAAAUUUAGGGUAAGGGUGAUCACAAAACAUGAAAAGAUUAACAACUAAUGAAGAAAACAGUGACUGGUACAACCUCCUUAUCAAGUAUGCAGCAUGAAAAAGAUAACCAGACAAAAAUCUGAAGGUAAUUGCAGAUAUGGAAUGCUGAAUAAUGAUACUUUAUCAUUCUAACACCACAGUAAGGAGCUGGGGCAGAUAAGCAGAGAAGAUGUACUGAACAUGCCUCCAGUUCAGUUCAAAACAGAGAAGGUGAAGAGACUCCAGCAGUUUUAAGCCACCGUUAAUCUUUCAAAGAAACCAAAAGCACGUGAUCCCUAUAUAUCCCCCUAUAUAUGUCUUUCCUACAAUGUACUGAGGGCUGAUAUUUCAAUUGUAAUCAAUAGGUUUGCAUUCAUCACCGAUGCUGCUAUCUGCACUUUCCAUCUGAGCUGUACAAUCAUGCAGUUAACUUCUUGCUUGUACCAUCAUACCAUACACACGCCAAGAUUCAGAGAAAACUGAAAACUUGCAGCUUCAUUUAAGCUGUAAAAUACGAUGAAGUUAUCUUUGUAAGUUUAAAAAUCAAGAAUACUGAAGGAUUUGUUUCCUUGAGUUUGCAUUCAACUUCAACUUGCAUGCUAUUAAACCAUUCUAAAAUAAAAGAACAAUAUUGCUGUUAUAACCUACUGACUUACAUCCCUACCCAAUAAUUUCUGGUAACUCAAAUAUAGAGCUCUUGCUGCAGAAGCUGGGUUGUGCUCUUAACCAUCACAAGUCAAAGAAGUUUGGCUGCAAACAUCUUUAAUAUGAAUACAAAAUUCACAGAGGAUAUACAUUCUGGGGAAUGUAAAUUAACUAUUACAAGAGAUUCUGACAGAAUCAAAACAUAAAGAAGACUGUCAGGCCAAGAAUUUAAUGAGGAAUGAUUAAAAAGUUUGAUUUACAGUUACAUUACAAUUCUGUUACUUUAAGAAUGUCAGCUGAAAGGCAUUUGAACAUACAGUACAUAAAUCAUACAAUCCACACAGUUGUAAAUAACGUAUCUGAAGUAUUUCAAUUUUACUUCAUAGAACACAAAGCAAUGUAACGUGCAAAUGAGGACUCCAAUAAACUGAAUUUAAAAUGGAUAUGAUAAAAAUGACAGAAUUUUACAUUUGAGGAAGAACUACACUACAGACAGAGAAAUUAAAAAGAAGUAUCUUCCACAUCGCUCUCAUUACUGAAGUAUGCUUUUCAAUUAAACAGAAAAAUCAUACUGGCCCAACUUCCUCACUCAAAACUAUCGGUCCAUGAAGGUCAACUAAAGCUUUUACUUUCUCUAAGUGUACAAACAAACAGCAUUUAUACAGUCUCCUUUCCCAUGUUGGAACUGACAACCGUUACAUGAAAGGGUUUUUGCAUUAUGUACACUGGUUGAAAAUAUUAUCUUAUAAAAAGGCACAUACCUGUGAUUUAAGGCUAGUAUGGUUGUUUUUUCUUUUCCCAUAAAGUAAAAUUUUAAAUGAGAUUAGUAUAUCGUAUGGUUGGCUUCACUCAGCAAACCACUUGGUGCAAAGCAAAGAUGUGUGCUUAAAAUCCUCAGACUGACAGUGAUUCCUGCUUUAGUGUUUUUUUGUUUUUUAUCUCUACAAUGGAAAGGUACAUCUUUUAAAAAGGCAUCUGCUGCAAUUCCACUAGUCAGAGCCAACCGCUACUGCUGCCUUAUAUGCAUGUACUGCAUACCAGCCUUAUAUUAUUAAUUUGCAAAAUAUUCUUUUAACUCUCUCCUUUUUAAAAGUCAUAUGAAAAUUAUUAAAGAUGUUUUUAUAUUUGUCUAUAAAAUACCAGAUGUUGGUACAAAUCACGUAAAUCUCCAUUUGGAAAUAUUCUGACUAGCCACCAAAAUAACCAGAAAUCACAAACAUAAUUUGUCAGUGCAAAUCCAUAUAGUUUUUUUUUCCCCUCCCUCCCUCGCCCCCCAUCCCAGCUACAGAAGUAACCACCAGCCUUCACAUACAAAAUGAGUGCUCUGUAUUUGAAAUGAUAGAAAUUAUGUUUAGUUACCUUAAAGUUACCCAUUUUCCCAACAAAUUCAGUUUUCCAAUGUCAUAAAAGGGAAAAAAAAAA